rnacentral:tRNA from 1 species
GGGAAAUUAGUUAAUUUAUAACACUAACUUGUCAAGUUAGAGUAAUCUCUAAGAUAUUUCCCA